rnacentral:rRNA from 1 species
GAAAUACCACCCUUUAAUGUUUGAUGUUCUAACGUUGACCCGUAAUCCGGGUUGCGGACAGUGUCUGGUGGGUAGUUUGACUGGGGCGGUCUCCUCCUAAAGAGUAACGGAGGAGCACGAAGGUUGGCUAAUCCUGGUCGGACAUCAGGAGGUUAGUGCAAUGGCAUAAGCCAGCUUGACUGCGAGCGUGACGGCGCGAGCAGGUGCGAAAGCAGGUCAUAGUGAUCCGGUGGUUCUGAAUGGAAGGGCCAUCGCUCAACGGAUAAAAGGUACUCCGGGGAUAACAGGCUGAUACCGCCCAAGAGUUCAUAUCGACGGCGGUGUUUGGCACCUCGAUGUCGGCUCAUCACAUCCUGGGGCUGAAGUAGGUCCCAAGGGUAUGGCUGUUCGCCAUUUAAAGUGGUACGCGAGCUGGGUUUAGAACGUCGUGAGACAGUUCGGUCCCUAUCUGCCGUGGGCGCUGGAGAACUGAGGGGGGCUGCUCCUAGUACGAGAGGACCGGAGUGGACGCAUCACUGGUGUUCGGGUUGUCAUGCCAAUGGCACUGCCCGGUAGCUAAAUGCGGAAGAGAUAAGUGCUGAAAGCAUCUAAGCACGAAACUUGCCCCGAGAUGAGUUCUCCCUGACUCCUUGAGAGUCCUGAAGGAACGUUGAAGACGACGACGUUGAUAGGCCGGGUGUGUAAGCGCAGCGAUGCGUUGAGCUAACCGGUACUAAUGAACCGUGAGG